rnacentral:lncRNA from 1 species
CCCCCGACAAGUAGCAGGCUGGCGACUGAGAAGCUCCCCAGAAGCUACCCUUAAUGCCCAAAGAUUGAUUUAGGCAAUGACACUGCAAUGUACGGAAGGGGAAAAAGGGACGAGAGGAAGUGAUUAAAAAGAAAGCAGCGAGGAUCUUGGAGAAAACGUCUGACAAAAGGUAAUGGAAACCCAGUAACAGACGAAAACCGGUGAUAGAUUAGGCAAACCUUCUCUGCUAAGUGCAUGUGUGCAUUUCAGCUCAGGAAUAAAAAUAAGACCCUGUUCUACGGAGGCUCUUAAAAAACUGACCUGUGCUGGCCCCAUACGCUAAGGUUUAUUUGAGGCGCCC